GAGUUUGAUCAUGGCUCAGGAUGAACGCUGGCGGCGUGCUUAACACAUGCAAGUCGAGCGAAAAUAAUUGAGAGCUUGCUUUUGAUUAUUUUAGCGGCGGACGGGUGAGUAACGUGUGGGCAACUUACCUUUUACUGUGGAAUAAUCGUUGGAAACGACGACUAAUACCGCAUACGGUUCUUGGAAGGCAUCUUCUAAGAAAGAAAGGAGUAAUUCGGUAAAAGAUGGGCCCGCAUCUGAUUAGCUAGUUGGUGAGAUAAUAGCCCACCAAGGCAACGAUCAGUAGCCGACCUGAGAGGGUGACCGGCCACAUUGGGACUGAGACACGGCCCAAACUCCUACGGGAGGCAGCAGUGGGGAAUAUUGCACAAUGGGCGAAAGCCUGAUGCAGCAACGCCGCGUGAAGGAAGACGGUUUUCGGAUUGUAAACUUCUAUCAAUAGGGAAGAAAGAAAUGACGGUACCUAAAUAAGAAGCCCCGGCUAACUACGUGCCAGCAGCCGCGGUAAUACGUAGGGGGCAAGCGUUAUCCGGAAUUACUGGGUGUAAAGGGAGAGUAGGCGGCAAGGUAAGCGAUAUGUGAAAGCCUUAAGCUUAACUUAAGGAUGGCAUAACGAACUAUCUAGCUAGAGUACAGGAGAGGAAAGCGGAAUUCCUAGUGUAGCGGUGAAAUGCGUAGAUAUUAGGAAGAACACCAGUGGCGAAGGCGGCUUUCUGGACUGAAACUGACGCUGAGGCUCGAAAGCGUGGGGAGCGAACAGGAUUAGAUACCCUGGUAGUCCACGCUGUAAACGAUGAGUGCUAGGUGUCGGGGAGGAAUUCCCGGUGCCGGAGCAAACGCAAUAAGCACUCCACCUGGGGAGUACGACCGCAAGGUUGAAACUCAAAGGAAUUGACGG
rnacentral:rRNA from 1 species